AUGGAGCAGGGCACGCAAAUCCACGGGCUGGUAUAUAAACGUGGGUUUGAGGAUGAUAUAAUUGUCGCCAUUGCUCUCAUUGACAUGUAUUGUAAGUUAGGUUCCUUGAAGCAUGUCAGGAAACUCUUCAAUGGUGUCUGUGCCAAGGAUUUGCUGCUAUGGAAUACAAUGGUUGUUGGUAUAUCGCAGAAUGGGAAAGGCAGGGAAGCCAUUCCAAUUACCGAGGCUGAGGCCUCCUACUAA
rnacentral:rRNA from 1 species